GUCUUGUAAUUGGAAUGAUGGUGACCCAAACCCUCACCAGAGUAGCAAUUGGAGGGCAAGUCUGGUGCCAGCAGCCGCGGUAAUUCCAGCUCCAAUAGCGUAUAUUAAACUUGUUGCAGUUAAAAAGCUCGUAGUUGUAUUUUUGCGUUAGCGGUUUGACCAUUUGGUUGGUUAUUUCGUUUUCGCUUUUGGGAAUUUCCCUUUUUACUUUGAGAAAAUUAGAGUGUUUCAAGCAGACUUUUGUCUUGAAUACUUCAGCAUGGAAUAAUAGAGUAGGACUUUGGUUCUAUUUUGUUGGUUAUUGAACCUUAGUAAUGGUUAAUAGGAACGGUUGGGGGCAUUCGUAUUUAACUGUCAGAGGUGAAAUUCUUAGAUUUGUUAAAGACGAACUACUGCGAAAGCAUUUGCCAAGGACGUUUCCAUUAAUCAAG
rnacentral:rRNA from 1 species